rnacentral:rRNA from 1 species
GCAAGUCGAACGGUAACAGCAGAGCUUGCUCUGGCUGACGAGUGGCGGACGGGUGAGUAACGCUUGGGAAUCUGCCUAGUAGUGGGGGACAACACGGGGAAACUCGUGCUAAUACCGCAUACGUCCUACGGGGGAAAGUGGGGGAUCUUCGGACCUCACGCUAUUAGAUGAGCCCAAGUCGGAUUAGCUUGUUGGUGAGGUAACGGCUCACCAAGGCGACGAUCCGUAGCUGGUUUGAGAGGAUGACC